GCACCCAUAGCUCAGAUGGAUAGAGCAGUCGCCUUCUAAGCGACAUGUCGCAGGUUCGAGUCCUGCUGGGUGCACCA
rnacentral:tRNA from 1 species